rnacentral:rRNA from 1 species
UUAUUAGCUGCAUCAUUGACGUUAGCGACAGAAGAAGCACGGGCUACUCCGUGCCAGCAGCCGCGUAUACGGAGGGUGCGAGCGUUAAUCGGAAUUACUGGCGUAAAGCGCAUGCAGGUGGUUUGUUAAGUCAGAUGUGAAAGCCCGGGGCUCAACCUCGGAAUUGCAUUUGAAACUGGCAGACUAGAGUACUGUAGAGGGGGGUAGAAUUUCAGGUGUAGCGGUGAAAUGCGUAGAGAUCUGAAGGAAUACCGGUGGCGAAGGCGGCCCCCUGGACAGAUACUGACACUCAGAUGCGAAAGCGUGGGGAGCAAACAGGAUUAGAUACCCUGGUAGUCCACGCCGUAAACGAUGUCUACUUGGAGGUUGUGGCCUUGAGCCGUGGCUUUCGGAGCUAACGCGUUAAGUAGACCGCCUGGGGAGUACGGUCGCAAGAUUAAAACUCAAAUGAAUUGACGGGGGCCCGCACAAGCGGUGGAGCAUGUGGUUUAAUUCGAUGCAACGCGAAGAACCUUACCUACUCUUGACAUCCAGAGAACUUUCCAGAGAUGGAUUGGUGCCUUCGGGAACUCUGAGACAGGUGCUGCAUGGCUGUCGUCAGCUCGUGUUGUGAAAUGUUGGGUUAAGUCCCGCAACGAGCGCAACCCUUAUCCUUGUUUGCCAGCGAGUAAUGUCGGGAACUCCAGGGAGACUGCCGGUGAUAAAUCUGAGGAAGGUGGGGACGACGUCAAGUCAUCAUGGCCCUUACGAGUAGGGCUACACACGUGCUACAAUGGCGCAUACAGAGGGCGGCCAACUUGCGAAAGUGAGCGAAUCCCAAAAAGUGCGUCGUAGUCCGGAUUGGAGUCUGCAACUCGACUCCAUGAAGUCGGAAUCGCUAGUAAUCGUGGAUCAGAAUGCCACGGUGAAUACGUUCCCGGGCCUAGUACACACCGCCCGUCACACCAUGGGAGUGGGCUGCAAAAGAAGUAGGUAGUUUAACCUGCGGGGACGCCUACCA